rnacentral:tRNA from 1 species
CGGUAGGUAAGUUAAGUUAAACUACGGGGUUCAUGUCCCCAUAAUAUGAUUUUCAUUCUAUCAA